GGCUAAAUCACGGAAAUAUACAGGAAUAUAUAUACACUAACGAAAAAUGACGUGCCACAUUCAGAUGCGAUUUCGGGAUCUCACGCAGAGUUGCAGCCGGUCUUAGUGGACUGAUGAUUGCAGAAAUGGAGGCCGCAAUAAAGAGUUUGAGACAUAAAGUGAAGGAGAAAGGUGAUACUGCGGAUAUGUGGUUAUUCAAACAGCCGAUUGCUGUCAUCUGUCACUUUGAGGAUGAACUCGGCCGAAUGCCUUUAAGCUUGUUGCUGUACAGCACAGAGUAUUUGCGCCUGUUCUGCUAUGGAGGGGUAAUGGACAUCCACCCAGAGGAGCUGCUGCAGAAAACGUGUUGUUUCAUCAAACAGCUGGCAGCCUGUAACUGGAAUCUGGAAUUUACAGAAUCAGGGCUUCCCCUUCUAGUGGACGACCCAUCAGCUACCAACCAAGGGUAGUUCUUCCUGUGAUGCAAGGAUAAACCUGAGCAUCGUAACCACUCUCUCCUUUGUAAAAAGUGAGACGACUCUCUUAAGCUGGUUCAGGGCCAGCAUAGGCAAACUAGGCAGUCACCCAGGAUGCCACCAGCUCCAGGGAACACCAGAGAGGCAAUUUUAAAAUUAAUUUAUUUGGUUCUCUGCUGAUUUAAAUCAAUGUUACAUCCAAUGCCCAUGUUCCGUUUUCAAAUAAGUAAAUGCUGCAGGCUACACCCAGAUCUCCCCGAGAAGCGGUACCCUGUGUGCAGACCUGUGACGAUGAUGCCCUCAGACAGACUUGAGAGCAGCGGUGGGUGGAGCACAUGCCUGGGGGAGGGCUUCAACAGCUAUUACUCUCUCUGCAGUUAUUAUGUGGCGGUGGCCAAGUGAUCGGUUAAUAAUGAAACGAUCAAAGCAAUCUGGAGAGAAAUAUAGGAAACGCAGGAAAGAGAAUGAAGGAAAAAAACAGUUUGAUAUAGAGGUAAAGAUGUACAGUUUGAAUGUCGUCUCUUUUGUUUUUGUCAUCAUUCUUGCAAGCUAAUUUACUAAUAAUAAUUAGUUGACCCCCCCCCCCCCCGAAAUAUAUAACUUGAAAACAUAGGAUAAAAUUAUAACUUUAUAAUCAGUGCCCAAAUAAUGGGAGAUUAUUUCUCAUAUGCACCAAAUAAUAUAAUUCAACACUACACUAAACAAACUACAUAAACUAUGAAGUGUUUGCUCCUUCAUGUCCCCAUUUGGCCAGAAGAUGUCGCUGGUGAUCAAGUUUUCUUUGCAAAACUGUAUAUUGUUUAGAAUGGAGUCGUGAAAUCAUGUAGGUCAUAUUAAUUAUUUGUAUAUUAUGCUAUUGUUCUGUAUUGUCGUGUUUAUUUUUCAUUUAAUCCAGUUUUUUUUAUUUAAUACUUUUUGCAUUUUGAAUUAUCUACAUGCUCAUAAUUUUGAGAUUUAUUGUUUUAUGUAUAUUUUGAUAUUUAAGUAUAUUAAUGUAAAGCUGAUUAGAAAAUGAGUAAUUAAAUGUGAUUGCUGUGUUUUAUGCACACUAACUGAAGCAUUGUAACAACUGUGCCUUGUCUUGUGCAUGUGUACAUUGGUGAUGAGUGGUGAAGGGGAACUAUUUGGACUCUCGCCUGGUGCACAAAAAUGUUCAGAAGUGGCCCUGCUCUGGUCCCUAAUGCACAUGGAAAGGCUGCUCUCUAAAUCAGGGUGAAAAUAUUCAGUGCCAUAUUGUGUCAAGCAUAAAAAGCAUUCCUCAUACCAAUGAUGUGCCGUGCACAUUCUUCCCGUUUUUCUUAACUAGGCGCAUAGCCAGAAAUGCCUGCCCCCCCGACAAAAUGACACUUUGGUCCCCCACCUUGGAUUGGCAGUUUCAAUCUGAAUAAAUACGGAACUUACAGCAGAUGGAGUUUGCUAACUGGGGGUGUGGGCAUCCCUUUCACCCCCCCUUUAAA